rnacentral:tRNA from 1 species
GGGUUUGUGGCUCAGUGGUAGAGCACUUGCCUGGCAUGUGUGAGGCACUGGGUUCGAUCUCCAGCACCA